rnacentral:lncRNA from 1 species
CAAACCAGAUGAUAUAAUAACAGGUAAAGUGGAUUGGGCCUAGAAAUUCAUACCCGAGGUGAGCUGGCAAGGGCUAUAGCUCCAGCUUUGGUGGUUCUUCAAUGGACAGUUUAGCUGGAGGGCUCUCUCUUUUCUCCAAAUGUAGGGGUUCAAAUUCAAGCUUUCUAUCCCAAAACUCCUUACUUCCAACGCAAACACCCAUUCCGCCAACUCCUCACCAUUAGCCUCCUCCAAAUUGGAUAGACAUGCAGCUAAGGGAUCCUCCACCAUCAAUACCUCAUCAUCAGACUGAACAAUUACGUCCGCAACAUCAGUGAGAGAGCAGUUAGCGAAUUCACUUGGACGUCUCAUCACCACAUUAAAAAUAAUCUCUUCAUCAUUGAGCCUCAUCUUAAGCUCCCCAGUCUUGCAAUCAAUCAAUGCUCUCCUAGUGGCCAAGAAUGGGUUUCCCAAAAUGAUAGGAAUUUUUUCAUCCACCUUGCAAUCCAAGAUCACAAUAUCUGCAGGGAACACAAAUUUCCCCACCUGAAUAAGAACAUCAUCUAGGAUCCCAAAUGGAUGAUUUAUAGUCAUGUCAGCCAGAUGCAACAUCAUAGUGGUUGGUCUAGCUCUCCCAAUGCCGAACCUCUUGUAAACAACCAGGGGCAUGAGGUUAAUGCUAGCCCCUAAAUCACAAAGUUCCUUUGUAAAGGCAAAAUUACCAAUAGUACAAGGAAUAGUGAAACUCCCUGGGUUAGAGAGCUUUUCAGCAACGGGUCUAGUCACCACUGCACUACAAGUCUAUGUAACUGUUACUAUGACCGAAUCUUGGAAGUCAAACUUCCUAGAUAUCAAGUAUAUCAUCAUCUUUGCAUAUCCAGGCAUCUCCUUUAAAGCUUCGAUCAAUGGAAUAUUUACCUGAAUUUGCUUGAGCAUGUCAAAGAACUUCUUGUAUUACUCUUCUUUUUGGUGCUUGGCCAAUCUCUGUGGGAAUGGUGCAGGAGGUCUUUUCUUCCCAAUGACUUGGGACUUUUCCUUCUCAACUAUCAUCUCCUAAUUUGCUUGAGCAUGUCAAAGAACAUCUUGUAUUGCUCUUCCUUUUGGUGCUUGGCCAAUAUUUGUGGGAAUGGUGCAGGAGGUCUUUUCUUCCCAAUAACUUGGGACUUUUAAUUCUCAACUAUCAACUCCUCCAUUGGCUCUGCUACUGUUUCAGCGAUUUUCUCGCCCUCUUGUUGCACAUUCUAAUUUUCAGGAACAUACUGGACUGUCACAUCUGUCAGCCUUGUUGAUUCAUCCAGCUCAAUGGGUACCUGAAUUAGUGUCUCUGUCUGCAUAUUCUCAGGAUCUCUUUCCUUUUAAACAUCAAGAUCCCUCCCAUUGCUGAGACUCACCGCCAUUAGUUGCUUCGGGACCUGAUCUUUAGGGCUGGUCUGAGUAUCUGCAGACAAUGUCUCUUGAGGACGGUUAUUCAAA